rnacentral:rRNA from 1 species
GAUGAACGCUGGCGGCGUGCCUAAUACAUGCAAGUCGAGCGAACAGACGAGGAGCUUGCGCCUCUGACGUUAGCGGAGGACGGGUGAGUAACACGUGGAUAACCUACCUAUAAGACGGGGAUAACUUCGGGAAACCGGCGAUAAUACCGGAGAAUAUAUUGAACCGCAGGGGUCAAUGGUGAGAGACGGUGUUGCUGUAACUUAUAGAUGGAUCCGCGCCGUAUUGGCUAGUUGGUAAGGUAACGGGUUACCAAGGCAACGAGGCGUAUGCGACGUGAGGGGCGGAUAGGCGACCCUGGAACUGGGCCGCGGUCCAUGCUCCUGCGGUAGGGCGCAGUAGGGAACCUUCCGCAAUGGUCGGAAGCUUGGCGGAGCAACGCCGCGUGAGUGAUGGAGGUCUUCCGUUCGUAAAACUCUGUUAUUAGUGAUGAACAAAUUUGUAAUUAACUAUGCACGUCUUGACGGUACCUAGUCAGAAAGCCCCGGCUAACUACGUG